rnacentral:rRNA from 1 species
GUGCAGCAGGCAAGAAAACUUUACAAUGCGGGAAACCGUGAUAAGGGAACCUCGAGUGCUGGCGCAUAGCGUCGGCUGUCCAGAUGCCUAAAAAGCAUCUGAUAGCAAGGGCCGGGCAAGACCGGUGCCAGCCGCCGCGGUAACACCGGCGGCUCGAGUGGUGGCCACGUUUAUUGGGUCUAAAGCGUCCGUAGCCGGCUCGGCAAGUCCCCCUGGGAAAUCUGGCGGCUCAACCGUCAGGCGUCCAGAGGAUACUGCUGGGCUUGGGACCGGGAGAGGUGAGAGGUACCUCGAGGGGUAGGGGUAGAAAUCUUGUGACUCCCGUGGAGGGACCACCAGGUGGCGAAGGCGUCUCAC